UACGAAGGGUGCUAGCGUUGCUCGGAAUCACUGGGCGUAAAGGGCGCGUAGGCGGUUCUUUAAGUCGGGGGUGAAAGCCUGAGGCUCAACCUCAGAAUUGCCUUUGAUACUGGAGAUCUUGAGACCGGAAGAGGUGAGUGGAACUGCGAGUGUAGAGGUGAAAUUCGUAGAUAUUCGCAAGAACACCAGUGGCGAAGGCGGCUCACUGGUCCGGUACUGACGCUGAGGUGCGAAAGCGUGGGGAGCAAACAGG
rnacentral:rRNA from 1 species